CACAGAGAUUGGAAGCUGGGGUCACAUAUCUAAGCUUCAGCUACAAGAAGCUAUGAAGAUGAACAUCUGUCUGUGCACCUCUGUGUUGAGAGACAGCCUCUGUUCUGAGUAGAUAUCUGAUGAGAAAUCCUUCCAGCGGAAGGCUAGGUAGGGAAAGUAAACAGCCACUGUCCACAUCAAGCUCUGACAGAUGUGCUCCAAGUCCUAUUUCUAGAUGUUUCUAGUAGGCCUGCCUCUGCCUAUCUGCACCCUGCACUUGAGACCUUGACCUGCUGAAUUCCCUUCCUGCAUUUCCAAACUUGAGUUGGACUCCAACUGAACAGAUACCACCAAGACCUUACAGUCCUGUAAGUGGCCAUGUGGCUGUGAAUCUUCCUAUAGGGUGUUCCCAGGCCUGGACAGAUGAUCCAUUAGUGUCCCAUGAAGUUCCUGUGAAACAGCCAGCCAUUCAUGUCAGAAGCAACGCGUCAGAAACCACCUGUUGCCCUUGCUCUGUGAGGCCACAUAGGAAGCGUCGAGUGGACGGAGCCUGCUGUUUUCAAGUGGCUGAAAGAUGCUGUUGAGCAGAGAAGACACUAGCCUCUGGCUGUCUGAAGGUCACAUUAUCAUCCCCUAUCAUUACUGAUAGACUAUCUGAAUAUGGUGCAUGAUGUAUUUUUAUUACAUUAAUUUACAC
rnacentral:lncRNA from 1 species